rnacentral:rRNA from 1 species
UGAGUAACCUGCCCUUAACUCUGGGAUAAGCCUGGGAAACUGGGUCUAAUACCGGAUAUGACUCCUCAUCGCAUGGUGGGGGGUGGAAAGCUUUUNUGGUUGGUU